rnacentral:rRNA from 1 species
UGGUCAACAGAGGGAAGCAAGACCGCGAGGUGGAGCAAAUCCCUAAAAGCCAUCCCAGUUCGGAUUGCAGGCUGCAACCCGCCUGUAUGAAGUUGGAAUCGCUAGUAAUCGCGGAUCAGCAUGCCGCGGUGAAUACGUUCCCGGGCCUUGUACACACCGCCCGUCACACCAUGAGAGUCGGGAACACCCGAAGUCCGUAGUCUAACCGCAAGGGGGACGCGGCCGAAGGUGGGUUCGAUAAUUGGGGUGAAGUCGUAACAAGGUACC